AGACUUUAGCAGAACUCAACCUUCUUGCGGAGAAUUGGAAGUAUAUUCUUGCCAACUUAAUUUUUCAGGAUCCAUCUUUCGAAAAAAGACAGUUCUUGAAUGAUAUACACAUUCUAUCAUAUUUCAAACUAUUGUUAAACAGAUAUUACAUUUAAAUUUUGUUGGUUCAAUUUUUUCACCUUUAGUUGUUCACCAUUUUAUUUUUUUCAAUAAUAUCAGCACCGUGCGUAGCACGGGUAUUCACAC